UGAGGAAUAUUGCGCAAUGGGCGAAAGCCUGACGCAGCAACGCCGCGUGGAGGACGAAGGCCUUCGGGUCGUAAACUCCUUUUCCGGGGAACGAGGAAGGACGGUACCCCGGGAAUAAGUCUCGGCUAACUACGUGCCAGCAGCCGCGGUAAAACGUAGGAGGCGAGCGUUAUCCGGAUUUACUGGGCGUAAAGCGCACGCAGGUGGCUUUGCAAGUCGGACAUGAAAGCUCCUGGCUUAACUGGGAGAGGUUGUUCGAUACUGCGGGGCUUGAGGUUGGGAGAGGGACGUGGAAUUCCCGGUGUAGUGGUGGAAUGCGUAGAUAUCGGGAGGAACACCAGUGGCGCAAGCGGCGUCCUGGCCCACACCUGACGCUGAGGUGCGAAAGCGUGGGGAGCAAACAGG
rnacentral:rRNA from 1 species